rnacentral:lncRNA from 1 species
CAAGUUCCCAAAAUUGAGAACCUCUAAGUAUCUUCACCAAGGUUAGAUUGGAGAAGAAAUGAGUGACCUUGGAGUAGUAGGAUUGCUAGAUACACCCUCCAAGGGGGCCGGCCUCCUAGAGAGAAAAUGAGAGACAUGUUCUCUCCAAUUUUCUCCAAAAGAACCCUUAAUGAAUUUUGGCUAUAAAGUUCUUUAUAUAGUCACUUCUUUAAGUGACCUAAAGAACCAAAAACCCUAAUUUAUCUCACUUGGCCGGCCAUAUAAGGGAUAUGGGCUUUUGGGCCCUUGUGAAUCUUUAUUCAUUAAAUUGUCAUACAACUUAAGUCAAUGUGCUUGACGCUCGAAGCCCAUUGGGCCUUAAGGUCCAAAACUAUCCCGAGGUCUUUAACGAACUUAUUCGUUUGAUUAAU